UUCCCUUACUAAUGAAUGGUUGGUAACCAUAUGUCCAUUUGUGUAAUUAUUUGAAUGCUGUCUCCUUCACUAAUGUUUUUCAAACGUCUUUGACCUUGCCUCACAGAGAAAUAACCUUUUACAUUAUAUAUGAAGCUCUCUGAUACAAUUUCUGAUUUUAUUCUAUUAUUGUGUGCAUGUACACAAAAUGCUGAUUGUAGCUUACUAGUCCGUUAUAUGACCAGAGUGUGAAAAAACACUGUUCUGGAGUGUAAUCUGUCAUCGGUUUUGUUCUCUAUUUUAUCUCCAGCCUCUAGUCUAGGGUAGAUGCUCAAUACAUGUUUGAUUCUGAACAAAAGAUACAGGUUAGAGGCAGUGGAAAAGUUGAAGAUGUUAUGCUUAUCAGAUUUACUUAAUGAAUUUAAAUCUCAACCCCUCAUUAGCUGUAAUGGCCUUGAGCGUGUUAACUUCUGUAUUUUCAUCUUUGAAAGGGGGAAUUAUACCUACCCUUGCAGAGGGGACAAGUUUGCAGUACAGCACCUAGGCAGCUCUUCAACAAAUGUAGGUUCCCUUCUACUACUAUCCAUAUUUAUGGUGCCAGGCACUUGGGAGUUGCCCUAGACAUCCACCUUUCUUCACAUUCCACACAACUUUGUUGCUUCCCUUGUCUUAAAAAAGGUUCUGGAGGAAAAUUCUUGGUUCUCCCCUUCCCCACCCUCAGCCAUGACUAUUGUGAAGAGGUUCGUUUUCCGAGGAUUAAAUUCAAACUUCUGCUUGGCUCACAUGGUCUCAUGCCCACCCCAGCCCAUCUUUCUAUAUUCAGUCAUGCUACUCUCCUGCUACAAGGAACGCUCCUCAUUCUUUAUCUCUGCUGCCUCCAGUAUCUGGCCCUUGCUCUUGGCCAGGCAAAUUCUACUCUUGUAUGAUCCAACCCACAUGUCACCACCUUAGCUUUCCAGGGCUCUCUUCUCCCUUCCCAAGUAUUCAUUCAAUUUGUGAAUGUUUAUUAAGCUACUUUUUCAUGUUCAGCACUGGGACAGAGAAAAUGAGCAGGCUCAGUUCUGCCCACCUGGAACUCACUGGCAAUUAAGCAUGUAUUCAUUCUGCCCUUUUUGAGGAUCUGCUCUGAGGCAGGCACUUGGGGGUAUUCCGUAAACAGUACUCACCUCAAAGUUGCUUACAGGCUGGUGCCUCUCCCCCACCUCCAUUUUGAUCUUGCCUCUUUUUCAGCACGUACUCUCAAUGUACUGUAAUUAAUUGUGGCUUUCUCUAGCUCCUGCAGACCUGAAGUGCAAGAGCCUGCUCUACCUUACUGAUUUUUACAUUUCUAAUUUCUGGGGCUGGUCUUUUGUCAUUGAUGUAACAAAUAUUUCCUCCACAGUGGUCCAGACCCAAUCUUUGUCCAGGGUGGGGCUUUCAAAGAUGAUAAAGAGGGGUUGGGUGGGAUCACAAAGAAAUCUUGCGCAAAUAUACCUUGAAUUAAUAUAUAUUGAAAAAAGCAAGACCUAACGUUUCAAACUCACUGAAAAUGGAGAAAUGAGAUGGUAAACUUUUUGGGCUUAGAGGUGUAGAAGCAGGAACUCUUAGGUAGGUGGGAAGGCUGCUCUGUCUGGUUGGUUUCUGCACUCAAUGCAACCCAGGCUGGGUCUGGAGUCAUUUACCCUCCUUCCCCUCUCCCCAGCUUUUCCUACUCUUGCCAAGAGGGAGAAACCAAGGAGCUCUGGUCAUCGGGUCACCAUCUCAAGGCCUGCCGAGCUGUGGCCUUCUCUGAAGAUGGGCAGAGUGAGUACUGGGGAAGACAACCAGCAAUGUGGUGGAAGGGAACAGUGAGCAGCACCAUGACCUGGGCACCUUUUCCCCAGAGCUCGUUACUGUCUCCAAGGACAAAGCCAUCCAUGUUCUAGAUGUGGAGCAGGGCCGACUGGAAAGACGUAUUUCCAAGGCUCAUGGUGCCCCCAUCAACAGUCUUCUGCUGGUGGAUGAGAAUGUUCUGGCCACUGGGGAUGACAUGGGUGGUAUCCGUCUCUGGGACCAACGGAAGGAGGGCCCCUUAAUGGAUAUGAGGCAACAUGAAGAGUACAUCGCAGACAUGGCUCUGGAUCCAGCCAAAAAGCUGCUGCUGACAGCCAGUGGGGAUGGCUGCCUUGGCGUCUUCAACAUUAAGAGGCGUCGGUUUGAGCUGCUCUCAGAGCCUCAGUCUGGGGACCUGACCUCUGUCACUCUCAUGAAAUGUGGGAAGAAGGUGGCCUGUGGCUCCAGUGAAGGUACCAUCUACCUCUUCAAUUGGAAUGGCUUUGGGGCCACAAGUGACCGCUUUGCUCUGAGAGCUGAAUCUAUCGACUGCAUGGUUCCAGUCACCGAGAGUCUGCUGUGUACUGGCUCCACCGAUGGAGUCAUCAGGGCUGUGAACAUCCUACCAAACCGAGUGGUGGGCAGUGUGGGCCAGCAUACUGGGGAGCCUGUGGAGGAGCUGGCCCUUUCCCACUGUGGCCGCUUCCUGGCCAGUAGUGGCCAUGACCAGCGCCUCAAGUUUUGGGACAUGGCCCAGCUGCGAGCUGUGGUGGUGGAUGACUACCGUCAGCGCAAAAAAAAGGGAGGACCACUGCGGGCUCUGAGCAGCAAGACUUGGAGCACCGAUGACUUCUUCGCAGGACUGAGGGAAGAGGGAGAAGACUCCAUGGCUCAGGAAGAAAAGGAGGAGACUGGGGAUGACAGUGACUGAGGGAAUGAAUUGAAUCUUGAGACAGGUCCUCACCAGGGUGCCUGUGGAGAGAGAAUGGAGUCACUGUUUAACCAUGGUACCUGCCUCAGCCCCAGCAGAACACAGGAGGUUGGCCCCAGACUCACUAAGUGCCUGCAGCAGCCGUACAGACACAGCAUCCUUGGCCACCUCAUGCCCAUCCCGGCCAUCUAGGGUCAGCACAACCCAGAUGAGGCCGCUGAAGGGCACUGGAUGCCCAGGAAUCACCACCUGGUACCAGAAGCGGUGCCAGCCAGCAGGUCCUAUGCCCAAACACUUGGUGAGGAACACAGGGCUGCCCAGCUUCAUUCGUUGGCACAGCAACUGCAGGGUAGCCCGAGCCCCUUGGGACCCUAACUUGUCCCUUGCCAAAGCCAACUGGCUGCCCUCUGGCUGUGGGGACCGCAAGAAGGGAUCCACAAGCUGCUGGCGAAGUCGCUGCUUCAGGUCUGGCUUGAGCCACUCCACAGCCACCUGCUCUCCACAGAGGUGUGACUGCCCUGCAGGAAAAAUGCAAAGACAAGGGCAGGUCUAAACCCUGGGCCCAAGCCUCCAGGUUGUGAGCCCUUUGGAGAUACACAGUCCUGUAAUUUGUAGCCUUCCCAUUUCCUGGUAGUGUGACCAUGGGUAAGAAAAGACAAUGAAGCCUUCAGCCUCCAUUAUUUGCAAAGGGAGUAUAUAACACACUGCUACCUUACAAGUUUCCUUGGAGAAAUACUGGUUAAUUGCAGGCUUUGUCUGCCUCAUAACCAUCAUAAUGGCUAAUCUUUACUGGGAAAACUUGCUUAAGUCAGUUAGUGUGCUAAGUACCAUACACCCAUUAUGUUACUUAAUUCUCACAACAGUCUGAGGAAACAGAUUUUAUAGUAGUAAAAAGCUCAGUUGGAUUCCCUUGAGCAAAUCAAUUUCUCUAACAGUUUCCUCAUAGCUUGAGGGUCCCGUGCCUAUUUUGCGGUGUGGGGGUGGGGGAAGGUUGAGAAUUAAGUCAAGAGGUAAUACUCGGAAAGUGUUACAAAUUUAGGUAAGCGGUGGUGGUAGCACCAUUGGAAGUUUUAAAAAUCUGAGAUCAAAUAGUAAAAGGUUGCAAAUUCUGGC
rnacentral:sRNA from 1 species